GGGUUGUGAGGUUAAGCGACUAAGCGUACACGGUGGAUGCCCUGGCAGUCAGAGGCGAUGAAGGACGUGCUAAUCUGCGAUAAGCGUCGGUGAGGUGAUAUGAACCGUUAUAACCGGCGAUUUCCGAAUGGGGAAACCCAGUGUGUUUCGACACACUAUCAUUAACUGAAUCCAUAGGUUAAUGAGGCGAACCGGGGGAACUGAAACAUCUAAGUACCCCGAGGAAAAGAAAUCAACCGAGAUUCCCCCAGUAGCGGCGAGCGAACGGGGAGGAGCCCAGAGCCUGAAUCAGUGUGUGUGUUAGUGGAAGCGUCUGGAAAGGCGYGCGAUACAGGGUGACAGCCCCGUACACAAAAAUGCACAUAUUGUGAGCUCGAUGAGUAGGGCGGGACACGUGGUAUCCUGUCUGAAUAUGGGGGGACCAUCCUCCAAGGCUAAAUACUCCUGACUGACCGAUAGUGAACCAGUACCGUGAGGGAAAGGCGAAAAGAACCCCGGCGAGGGGAGUGAAAAAGAACCUGAAACCGUGUACGUACAAGCAGUGGGAGCCUCUUUAUGGGGUGACUGCGUACCUUUUGUAUAAUGGGUCAGCGACUUAUAUUCUGUAGCAAGGUUAACCGAAUAGGGGAGCCGAAGGGAAACCGAGUCUUAACUGGGCGUUAAGUUGCAGGGUAUAGACCCGAAACCCGGUGAUCUAGCCAUGGGCAGGUUGAAGGUUGGGUAACACUAACUGGAGGACCGAACCGACUAAUGUUGAAAAAUUAGCGGAUGACUUGUGGCUGGGGGUGAAAGGCCAAUCAAACCGGGAGAUAGCUGGUUCUCCCCGAAAGCUAUUUAGGUAGCGCCUCGUGAAUUCAUCUCCGGGGGUAGAGCACUGUUUCGGCAAGGGGGUCAUCCCGACUUACCAACCCGAUGCAAACUGCGAAUACCGGAGAAUGUUAUCACGGGAGACACACGGCGGGUGCUAACGUCCGUCGUGAAGAGGGAAACAACCCAGACCGCCAGCUAAGGUCCCAAAGUCAUGGUUAAGUGGGAAACGAUGUGGGAAGGCCCAGACAGCCAGGAUGUUGGCUUAGAAGCAGCCAUCAUUUAAAGAAAGCGUAAUAGCUCACUGGUCGAGUCGGCCUGCGCGGAAGAUGUAACGGGGCUAAACCAUGCACCGAAGCUGCGGCAGCGACACUAUGUGUUGUUGGGUAGGGGAGCGUUCUGUAAGCCUGUGAAGGUGGCCUGUGAGGGUUGCUGGAGGUAUCAGAAGUGCGAAUGCUGACAUAAGUAACGAUAAAGCGGGUGAAAAGCCCGCUCGCCGGAAGACCAAGGGUUCCUGUCCAACGUUAAUCGGGGCAGGGUGAGUCGACCCCUAAGGCGAGGCCGAAAGGCGUAGUCGAUGGGAAACAGGUUAAUAUUCCUGUACUUGGUGUUACUGCGAAGGGGGGACGGAGAAGGCUAUGUUGGCCGGGCGACGGUUGUCCCGGUUUAAGCGUGUAGGCUGGUUUUCCAGGCAAAUCCGGAAAACCAAGGCUGAGGCGUGAUGACGAGGCACUACGGUGCUGAAGCGACAAAUGCCCUGCUUCCAGGAAAAGCCUCUAAGCAUCAGGUAACAUCAAAUCGUACCCCAAACCGACACAGGUGGUCAGGUAGAGAAUACCAAGGCGCUUGAGAGAACUCGGGUGAAGGAACUAGGCAAAAUGGUGCCGUAACUUCGGGAGAAGGCACGCUGAUAUGUAGGUGAAGCGACUUGCUCGUGGAGCUGAAAUCAGUCGAAGAUACCAGCUGGCUGCAACUGUUUAUUAAAAACACAGCACUGUGCAAACACGAAAGUGGACGUAUACGGUGUGACGCCUGCCCGGUGCCGGAAGGUUAAUUGAUGGGGUUAGCGGUAACGCGAAGCUCUUGAUCGAAGCCCCGGUAAACGGCGGCCGUAACUAUAACGGUCCUAAGGUAGCGAAAUUCCUUGUCGGGUAAGUUCCGACCUGCACGAAUGGCGUAAUGAUGGCCAGGCUGUCUCCACCCGAGACUCAGUGAAAUUGAACUCGCUGUGAAGAUGCAGUGUACCCGCGGCAAGACGGAAAGACCCCGUGAACCUUUACUAUAGCUUGACACUGAACAUUGAGCCUUGAUGUGUAGGAUAGGUGGGAGGCUUUGAAGUGUGGACGCCAGUCUGCAUGGAGCCGACCUUGAAAUACCACCCUUUAAUGUUUGAUGUUCUAACGUUGGCCCGUAAUCCGGGUUGCGGACAGUGUCUGGUGGGUAGUUUGACUGGGGCGGUCUCCUCCUAAAGAGUAACGGAGGAGCACGAAGGUUGGCUAAUCCUGGUCGGACAUCAGGAGGUUAGUGCAAUGGCAUAAGCCAGCUUGACUGCGAGCGUGACGGCGCGAGCAGGUGCGAAAGCAGGUCAUAGUGAUCCGGUGGUUCUGAAUGGAAGGGCCAUCGCUCAACGGAUAAAAGGUACUCCGGGGAUAACAGGCUGAUACCGCCCAAGAGUUCAUAUCGACGGCGGUGUUUGGCACCUCGAUGUCGGCUCAUCACAUCCUGGGGCUGAAGUAGGUCCCAAGGGUAUGGCUGUUCGCCAUUUAAAGUGGUACGCGAGCUGGGUUUAGAACGUCGUGAGACAGUUCGGUCCCUAUCUGCCGUGGGCGCUGGAGAACUGAGGGGGGCUGCUCCUAGUACGAGAGGACCGGAGUGGACGCAUCACUGGUGUUCGGGUUGUCAUGCCAAUGGCACUGCCCGGUAGCUAAAUGCGGAAGAGAUAAGUGCUGAAAGCAUCUAAGCACGAAACUUGCCCCGAGAUGAGUUCUCCCUGAUCCCUGA
rnacentral:rRNA from 1 species